GUGAUUUUUGGGUGAUUGGUUACAUGAUGCUGGGUUUGGCAUUGAAGAUGAGGCUCUCCUUGCUUUAAGAAAAGACAAAAAUCUCAAAGGAAAAGUGGGAAUAUCAUGUAAUGAGACGUAAGGACCAGGGAAAAGAACAAAAGAACCAGGACAAAGAAAGGAGGGAAGACCUGGAGAAUAGGCAUUAGAAAGGAGGGCAAGAAAGACAUGGAAGCCCCCUCAGUUGGAUGGGGGCUCAGCCGGUGCUUAUGCUUCUGAGAAAGCCCACAAGGAUGUUGCGAAUCUGGGGGAGCCACAUGCUCUUCACACCAAAGCUGAGACAGGCAGCUCUUGCUGGUGCCCUUACAACACACCGCGUGUAACAGAGCCAGUCAUCCCGGGGGCCGCUCUUCCAUCCUGCUAUUUGCUAACACCUUUAUUGCCUCCAGUUAGUUACUCACACCGCUCUCAUUCCCAUCUGUCAAGGAGAGCUCCCUUCCAACAUUCUGUCCUUCUUUGCUUCUACAGAAGAGAUCCUCCUGGUGUGAUUGCAAACCUCAGAGCUGAUACAGAGCUUCGAGAUGAGUAUCUGUACCUUAAGGCAACAGAAGAAGAACAGAGAGUCAAGCACAACCCAGAGUUCCAGUGCCAAAUGAGUCAGUAUGUGAAUUAUCUGCAGUGAAGACUCACCUCAAGACAAGCCCAAAGACCCCCCUGCAGGUAUCAAUAUGUGUGCCCCUCUGGGUGAGUGUGUGAGAGAAAGACAAUGACAGAGAAAUGACACAGAGAGAGGAGACAGAAACCAUGAUGUCUUAAGGUAAUAAAAUCACCUGCAAAGCUGUUGAACA
rnacentral:lncRNA from 1 species